rnacentral:rRNA from 1 species
GACGAACCGUGCGAACGUUGUUCGGAAUCACUGGGCUUAAAGGGCGCGUAGGCGGGUGACCAAGUCCGGGGUGAAAUCUUUCGGCUUAACCGGAAAAGUGCCUUGGAUACUGGUCGUCUUGAGGGAGGUAGGGGCAGGUGGAACUUCCGGUGGAGCGGUGAAAUGCGUUGAUAUCGGAAGGAACGCCGGUGGCGAAAGCGGCCUGCUGGAUCUCUUCUGACGCUGAGGCGCGAAAGCUAGGGGAGCAAACGGGG